ACAUGGUGGCUCUCUUUAUUUAGCAGGGGGAGAGUAAUUGGCCCUAUCCACCCUCAGCACAGUACCUCCAGUGACUGUUGCUGGUGUCUAUCUUGUGUUUCUUUUUAGAUUGUGAGCCCUUUGGGGACAGGGAGCCAUCUUAUUUAUUUAUUAUUUCUCUGUGUAAACAGAUUUGGAAACUUUUGCUGAACAGCGGUAUAUUAUAAAUAGUUGUUGUUGUUGCUACUGGGGGUGGGGCUAGGGAAGGCAAUGUCAAUUUUCUUUCUUUCUUUUGUUUAAAGUGUGCCUCAGUCAAAAAAAAUAGCUUGGGAAACUCUGCCUUAUUAUACCAUCACAUCAGGACGCAAUAGCUGUGAGAAAUUUUACCAUUGACCAUGGUAUCCUUCUGGAUCGCCUAGGGGACUUGAGGACUGGAAGCACUGCUUUGCAUUGGUUCCGCUGCUAUAUCUCAGUUUCACCUCGCAUACUGACAUUAAAACAAGUGACCCGAUCACACACAGUCCUAGUAAGUUUACAUGCUGGUGUAGCCUUAAGACCUGGUUGCCAAGAUAAGACGACUAGAGCUCAUAAAAGGUUUUUGCUAUGUACCGAAGGAGUUUCAUAUUGAUUAUUUCAGUAUUGUAUUCAUAACCACGACCCUGCAAGGUAGACCAGUAGAAUCAAAUCCUGUGGCUGCAGAUGCAAGGCGGUGGAUAUUAAGUGGUGAGUUGCCAACAGUCAUGAGUGAGUUCCUAAUGGGCAAGGUAAGAUUUGAAGCAGGGACCUUUUGGCUCCCAGCUGGUGGAAAGCAGUGUUUAAAACAGGCCUGCACAACAUAAGGCCCAGGGGCCAGAUUUGGCCCACAAGGACUAUUUUACUCGCCCCCAGGUCUCCUGCAGCAACACAGGAGCUGGAAACUGCCUUAUAGUGCCAUCCAAUGCAUGUUUUCUCAGAAAUAUGUUCCAUGGUGCACCCAGUGAGGUUUACUCCCAUAUAAGCAUGCCUAGGACUGCAGCCUGAAAGCAACAACAAUUUAGGAAGAGGAGAGGACUUGGCAUUUGUUUGGGACUGGCAUGCACUCUAGGGGCCCCACUGAUUGAGCAGGGACAGGACCUAUUUUCUGGCCACUAUUCUUGGUUGAAACUAUGAGUCCAUUGAUAGGAGGAACAGAUCCACAAGUAACUAAUACUUUUUAAAAUUUUAAUGUUAUGUGCUAAAAAUUGACCUCAGCCCCCACAUGACAAGUUGUGGAUGGUUCCGCCCCACUAGGGCAUUGGAGUUGUGCAGCCCUGGGUUAAAAGCGUGACCAAGGAAGAUGCUCGUACCAACAGCAAUUCUAAUCAUUUUGGGUCUUUAUGUAUUUCUUGUUCUAGGUGCUCAAAGCGCUUCACACACAUUCACUUAGGAAUCUUUGCAAGAACUCAGUGCUGCAGGUCAGUGGGGUUAUCCCAGUGUCACAGAUGGGGGAGGAAGCUGAGGCCAGGAGGCGGUGGUCAGGAGGAGGUGGAGGCCGUGACCAGGAGUGCUUUUGAUCAGCUUUGACCGGUUUGCCAACUGCACCCUUUCCUGGAAAACAGAAGCAUUCACUCAUUGUAAGAACAUGCAACAGGAUUGCACUGCUGGGGGGAAAUCAUGAUCCGGCAUUCAGCACCAGCCAGCCAGAUGCCUCUGAAAGCUGACAAAGAGAGCAUGAGGAUGAUAGCCACAUCCAGAUUAUCCCUAGCAUCUGACACACUCAGACCUACUGCCUUUGUACAUGGAAGUUCUAUCUAGCUAUUUAGGCCAGGGGUUCCCAAACUGUGGUAUUCCAGAUGUUGCUGAACUAUAACACCCAUCAUCCCCAGCUGUUGGGGAUGAUGGGAGUUGUAGUUCAGCAACAUCUGCGUGCCACAGGUUGGGAACCCCUGAUUUAGUCUAAUAGCCACUCAUCACUAGUUUCUUCUAUAUACCAUUAAAUAUUUUAUCACCUUUGCCCAGCAACCAAACUUUCCCGAUUGUUCUUAAUUCCAUCAUAUAUUAUGAUCCACUCAUGGAGGCCCAGUGAAAAUUACCACUUUUCUAUACAUAGAGAUUCAUUUCUGAUUGUUGACAACCUCUGCUUGUGUUAAUGUUAUUUGUCUUGGCCCACAUCUUGCAUUUUAACUGUAAUAAUCUAUAUGCCAAAUCUGCACAAUCAGGAUAUUUUGGAGUCGAUAAUAAAAUGAAACCCAUACUUUA